ensembl:lncRNA
AAGGAGAGAACUGGGAUUUGAGAGAUGAAAAUGGGGCUUGAGCACAGGCUAAACAGGAAUCGAGGUUUGUUGCAGUAGUUCUCAGAGAGCAAGGAGGCAGACGGGGAGUACCUCAAGUCUCAGAACCUUUUUCCUGCGUGAUAAGAGAAGCAGAAACCUGAAGUCUUGUGAAAGGAGCUGGUGGCGCCAAGUCGGAGAAUUCUGCUGCAUUGUAGGAUCUUCUGGUCUCUCAGCUCCUGCUCCACAAAAGGAAAGCUGGGGAUGUCAGGAUAAGGAGACUCUUCUGUCUUCACCCCACUCACAAACGCCCACACGAGGGACAGACAGGAUAAUCAUAUUUGUCUUCAAGAUGAACAAGAAGCUAAGGGGACUCUAACUUCAAGGAAACCCAAGAAUUAGGGAGAACUAUCCAAUAUCAAAUGUUUGACAAAUAAGGACCUUAUUAUAGUAACCCUUUUGUAUUUUGAAUACUGCCCAGAAGAUAAUGAGAAAGUGACUCCCCUUUAAAAUUAAAGAGGAACAUUUACUAUUUAUAAGGAAAAAUCAUCGGCUAAUAAAAUCCAUGGAAUCUAUUAGCAUUCCAGAUGUACAUCAGAGGGCUGGGUUGAAUUUAAAUGUUGUCUUCAAACACAUAAAAUGUUUUCCAGAGGAUAAUGGCUACUUUUUUUUUUUAAAGAUUGGCAUCUGUUCCCAAUCAUUUUUUUCUUUUCUUCUUCUCCUCAAAGCCCCCUAAUACAUAGCUGUAUAUUGUAGUUGUGGUCCUUCUAGUUGUGGCAUGUGGGAUGCCACCUCAGAAUGGCCCAAUGAGCAGUGCCAUGUCUGGGCCCAGGAUCCAAAGUGACGAAACCCUGGGCCGCUGAAGCAGAGCCCGCGAACCCAACCACUCGGCCACGGGGCCUGGCUGGUUGUUUUUAUUCCACACUUAGGUCAUGAGUGGAACUUGAGUUUACAUUAAGGUAUGAGGGUUUGAUAGAAAUUACAGAGAUGAAUUUCUUGAGCAUUUGUGCUAUUACAAAUCAGAGCAAGUCGCUAGUGCAGGCUGUGCCCUAUUUCCUUGCCAAUUUCUACCAAAGAAUAAUUUCUUUUCUGCUGUGAUUUAAGCAUGGUUUAAGAAAGUUGGGUCAGAUUAUAUUUCAAGAUUCACACUAGUCCUUUAAAAUAUUCCUUAGCCAGGGGCUGGCCCCGUGGCCGAGUGGUUAAAUUUGCGCGCUCCGCUGCAGGCGGCCCAGUGUUUCGUUGGUUCGAAUCCUGGGCGCGGACAUGGGACUGCUCAUCAAACCACGCUGAGGCAGCGUCCCACAUGCCACAACUAGAAGGACCCACAACGAAGAAUAUACAACUAUGUACCGGAGGGCUUUGGGGAGAAAAAGGAAAAAAUAAAAUCUUAAAAAAAUAAUAACAAUUCUUAGCCAUUUUAAGGUUCCUUGGGGGAAGUAUUGAUGUUCAAGUUUCCCUCCAUAUGAGUGGUGGCUGCUGGAAAAACAAUAACCAGACAUGGUUGGGUUUCUUGCAUUCAAACACAUUUGCAAAGGCAUAUAAUUUCCACAGAAUUCUCUUUAUCUUUCUCAUCCACUACACUGCUAUGUUGGCAGAAGUACCAGUGUGUGUGUGUAUUUUAUUUUUUGCUUUCUCUCUUUCUUCCAGAUGAAAGAUAAAUAGGUGCUGGGUGCGGAGGGUUGUCAGUGGGAAAAUCAAUGAUAGUUCAUGUUUGGUACUAAUGAGAGGAUGCUGAACAUACUGCUGACUACCCUGGAAAUUUCUCUUUGUUCUUAGGUCGUGGAUAUUAAUUUUAUGUAGUAAUAACAUUCUU